UACCUGGUUGAUCCUGCCAGUAGUCAUAUGCUUGUCUCAAAGAUUAAGCCAUGCAUGUGUAAGUAUGAACAAAUUCAGACUGUGAAACUGCGAAUGGAUCAUUAAAUCAGUUAUAGUUUGUUUGAUGUUAUCUACUACUCGGAUAACCAUAGUAAUUCUAGAGAUAAUACGUGCAACAAACCCCGAGUUCUAGAAAGGAUGCAUUUAUUUGAUAAAAGUUCGACGCGGGCUCUGCCCGUUGCUGCGAUGAUUCAUGAUAACUCGACGGAUCGCACGACCAUCGUACCGGCAAUGCAUCAUUCAAAUUUUUUCCCUAUCUAGUUUUGAUGGUAGGAUAUUGGCCUACUAUGGUGGUGACGGGUGACAGAGAAUUAGGGUUCGAUUUCGGAGAGGGAGCCUGAGAAACGGCUACCACAUCCGAGGAAGGCAGUAGGCGCACAAAUUACCCAAUCCUGACACGGAGAGAUAGUGACAAUAAAUAACAAUAUCGGGCUCAAUGAGUCUGGUAAUUGGAAUGAGUACAAUCUAAAUCCCUUAACAAGGAUCCAUUGGAGGGAAAGUCUGGUGCCAGAAGCCGCGGUAAUUCCAUCUCCAAUAGCGUAUAUUUAAGUUGUUGCAAUUAAAAAGCUCGUAGUUGGACUUUGGGAUUGGCCAGCCGGUUCGCCCAUGGUGUGCACCGGUCUUCUAGUCCCUUCUGUCGGCGAUGCGCUCCUGGCCUUAACUGGCCGGGUCGUGCCUUCGGCGCUAUUACUUUGUAGAAAUUAGAGUGCUCAAAGUAAGCCUACACUCUGUAUACAUUAGCAUGGGAUAACAUUAUCGGAUUUCGGUCCUAUUAGGUUGGCCUUCGGGAUUGGAGUAAUAAUUAACAGGGACAGUCGGGGGCAUUCGUACUUCAUAGUCAGAGAAGAAAUUAUUGGAUUUAUGAAAUACGAACAACUGCGAAAGCAUUUUCCAAGGAUGUUUUCAUUAAUCAAGAACGAAAGUUUGGGGCUCGAAGACAAUCAGCUACCGUCCUAGUCUCAACCAUAAACGAUGCCGACCAGGGAUCGGCGGAUGUUGCUUUUAGGACUCUGCCAGCACCUUAUGAGAAAUCAAAGUUUUUGGGUUUCAGGGGGAGUAUGGUCGCAAAGCUGAAACUUAAAGGAAUUGAUGGAAGGGCACCACCAGGAGUGGAGCCUGCAGCUUAAUUUGAUUCAACACGGGGAAACUUACCAGGUCCAGACAUAGUAAGGAUUGACAGACUGAGAGCUCUUUCUUGAUUCUAUGGGUGGUGGUGCCUGGCCGUUCUUAGUUGGUGGAGCGAUUUGUCUGGUUAAUCGUUAACGAACGAGACCUCAGCUUACUAACUAGUUAUGCGGAGGUAUCCCUUCGCGGCCAGCUUCUUAGAGGGACUACGACCUUUUAGGCCGCGGAAGUUUGAGGCAAUAACAGUUUUGUGAUGCCCUUAGAUGUUUUGGGCCGCACGCGCGCUACACUGAUGUAUUCAACGAGUUUAUAGCCUUAGCAGAUAGGAACGGGUAAUCUUUGAAAUUUCAUCGUGAUGGGGAUAGAUCAUUGCAAUUGUUGGUCUUCAACGAGGAAAUCCUAAUAAGUGUGAGUCAUCAGCUCCCGUUGACUACGUCCCUGCCCUUUGUACACACCGCCCGUCGCUCCUACCAAUUGAAUGAUCUGGUGAAAUGUUUGGAUCACGGCGACGAGGGCAGUUCACUGCCCGCAACGUCGCAAGAAGUCCAUUGAACCUUAUCAUUUAGAGAAAGGAGAAGUCAUAAUAAGAUUUUCGUAGGUGAACCUGUGGAAGGAUCAUUG
rfam:Capsicum annuum cultivar Zunla-1 chromosome 12, whole genome shotgun sequence